rnacentral:rRNA from 1 species
CCUACGGGUGGCAGCAGUGGGGAAUAUUGGACAAUGGGCGAAAGCCUGAUCCAGCCAUGCCGCGUGGGUGAAGAAGGCCCUAGGGUUGUAAACCCCUUUCAGCGGGGAAGAUAAUGACGGUACCCGCAGAAGAAGCCCCGGCUAACUCCGUGCCAGCAGCCGCGGUAAUACGGAGGGGGCUAGCGUUGUUCGGAAUUACUGGGCGUAAAGCGCGCGUAGGCGGAUCUGCAAGUCGGGGGUGAAAUCCCGAGGCUCAACCUCGGAACUGCCUUCGAUACUGCGGGUCUCGAGUCCGGGAGAGGUGAGUGGAAUUCCUAGUGUAGAGGUGAAAUUCGUAGAUAUUAGGAAGAACACCAGUGGCGAAGGCGGCUCACUGGCCCGGUACUGACGCUGAGGCGCGAAAGCGUGGGGAGCAAACAGGAUUAGAUACCCCUGUAGUC